CCCGGACGGCAAGGAAGAGGAGGAAGAGGAGGGGCAAGGGCAGGUGUCCCCCUCUCCUUCCCCACUGCCCCCCAGGAGACCCAGAAGCGAGGGCUGGCUGGAGGUGGCCCCUCUGGUCCUUCCCAAACUCCAGGCUCCUCUUCCC